AGAAAUAGCAAAAGUGGUUGGAAUGCUAAGCUCUAUUCAGGUGGAGUUAAAGGAAAUCAACUCAAAAGUCAGCUACUGCCCCGCGGAAUGGAUGAGACUCAACCGAUCAUGCUACAAGGCAGACCAGACUAUUAUGAACUAGGCUGAUGAACGGGCCGCCUGUGGCAAACUCGGCGGAGACCUGGUAAAGAUAACGAGCGAACAAGAAAACACAUUUGUGUACGAGCUGAGCCGCAAGCAAGCCCCCUCAA